rnacentral:rRNA from 1 species
AACGAACGCUGGCGGCGUGCCUAACACAUGCAAGUCGUACGAGAAAUCCUGGGCAACUGGGAGAGUAAAGUGGCGCACGGGUGAGUAACGCGUGGGUAACCUACCCUUGAAUUGGGGAUAACUCCUCGAAAGGGGAGUUAAUACCGAAUAAUAUUCCAGUUCCCACGGGAGUUGGAAUCAAAGGUGGCCUCUGCAUGCAAGCUAUCGUUUAAGGAUGGGCCCGCGUGCCAUUAGCUAGUUGGUAGGGUAAUGGCCUACCAAGGCAACGAUGGUUAGCUGGUCUGAGAGGAUGGCCAGCCACACUGGAACUGAGACACGGUCCAGACUCCUACGGGAGGCAGCAGUGGGGAAUCUUGCGCAAUGGGGGAAACCUUGACGCAGCAACGCCGCGUGAGUGAAGAAGGCCUUCGGGUUGUAAAGCUCUGUCAAGUGGGAAGAAUAGGUCCGGUUGAAUAGGCCGGAAUACUGACGGUACCACUGGAGGACGCACCGGCUAACUCCGUGCCAGCAGCCGCGGUAAAAC